GCCGCAGCACACUCUCUAAUCGAGCUGUAACACUCGCCACUGCCGUCCACGGCUUCAUUCCUUGAAGCCGUGAGACCACGAACCCUUCGAUUGAGAAGAACCUUCGGUCGGAAGAAGACUUCUCGUCUCAGUAACAAUAACAAGAAAAACAGCCUAGACUAGACGCACAUCAGGAAGACAGGUAGUAACAAAAUAUUUUGUUGUUUGUACUUUUAGUGUUGUCUCUAAGACAGCUUUGCCUAACCCAGGCAACAAAAAUUUAAUCCUAUACUUUCAUCUAAGAGUAUUACAAUUUUAACUCUUUAAUUGAGGUCUGUGGAUCAUUUGGAGUUAAUUUUUGUGUGUGGUGUAAGGAAGGGAUCCAAAACAUACUUGUCAGCAGCAGUUGUGGAAAAGACUAUUUUUCCUAUUUUUUUCCUCAUUCAACUGUCUGGAAUUUUUGUUGAAUAUCAAUUGACUAUAAAUGUAACGGUACGUUUUACGGCUCUCAAGUCUAUUCCACUGGUCUGUGUGUCAUUUUUUUAUACCAAUACCACACUCUUUAAUUAUUGUGCCCGGGUAAUGUCUGACAUUGGAAAGUGUGAGUCCUCUAAAUGUGUUAUUUUUCUCAACUGUUUUGGAUGUUCUAAGUCCCCUGUGUUUCAAUAUGAAUUUUAUGAUAGGCUUCUCAAUUUAUACAACAAAUCCAGCCAGAAUUUUGAUAGGGACCACAUUGAAUCUAUAGAUCAAUUUGAGGAGUACUGCCAUCUGAACAAUAUUGUCUUCCAAUCCACAAACAUGAAUUUUUUUCCAUUUAUUUAAAUCUUCUUUAAUUCUUUUCAACAAUGUUUUCUAGUGCUACAUGCAUAGGUUUUGCACUUCCUUUUAAGAAUUUAUUCCUAAAUAUCAUAUUAUUUCUGAGUGCUAUUAUAAAUAUAAUUACAUAUUUUCUUAAAAUCAUUUUUGGAUUGCUUACUUUUAGCAUAUAGAAUUUCAAUUUAUUUUUGUAUAUUGAUCUUGUAUCUUGAAACUUUGUCCAACUAAUUAUUAGUUUUAAUAGGUUUUAAGUGGAUUUCUUAAGAUGUUCCAUACACAAGGUCAUAUCAUGUUUGAAUAUAAAUAGACUUACUUCUUUAUUUCCAAACUGGAUGCUAUUUAUUUAUUUUUCUGGCCUAAUUAUCUUGGAUAAUUUCAGGAAAAUUUUGAAUAGAAGUUAUAAGAGUAGACAUUCAUGUCUUAUUCCUGAUCUUAAGAGAAAAUAACUCAGUCUUUUACUAUUAACUAUAAUGACAGCUGUGGAGUUUUUUGUAGAUGUCCUUUACCUUCUAUUUCCAAUUUAUUGAGUGGUUUUUUAAAAAUGUAUAUGAAAAGGUGUUGGAUUUUGUUAAAUGCUUUUUCUGGGUAUACUGAGAUGGUUAUGUGGUUUUUGUUAUUUAUUCUAAUAAUGUGGUAUUUAGAUGGGGGUCUUUAACUGCUGGCUGAAGACUCUCCAAAGCUUGUUUUCCUUCUUCCAGAGUGAUCUAUAGUAUUCAAUACAGUGGUUUUCAUUUGUCCUGUGCAUCUGAUCAUAAUGAACAGAACCUCUCUACUGAUCACUGAAGAACCUAUAGCAUGAGUGAGAAAUAAACCUUAUUGUUUCAAACCACUGAGGUUCUGAGGUUGUUUGUUAGGUAGGUGCCUUUAAAAUAUGUCCACAAAUUUUUCUUUAACAAACCCUCCCUUAUCAUGUUAAGUCUAUUUCCCCUCUCAGUGAGUGAGAGUCCAAAUGAGUUACUCACAGAAGUAAUUUACAAACAGAAGUAAUAAUAUAUGGUGAUAUGGUUUGGCUGUGUUCCCACCCAAAUCUCAUCUUGAAUUCCCAUGUGUUGUGGGAGAGAUGCAGUGGGAGAUAAUUGAAUCAUGGGGGGAAAUUUUUCCCAUGCUGUUCUCCUGAUAGUGAGUAAGUGUCAUGAGAUCUGACCGUUUUAUAAAGAGGAGUUUCCCUGAAGAAGCUCUCUUUCUCUUUGCCUGCUGCCAUGCACGUAAGACGUGACUUGCUCCUCCUUGCCUUCUGCCAUGAUUGUGAGGCUUCCCCAGCCAUGUGGAAAUGUAAGUCCAAUUAAACUUCUCUCUUUUGUAAAUUAGCUGGUCUCAGGUAUGUCUUUAUUAGCAGUAUGAAAACAAACUACUACAUAUGGCUUUUGGGCUAAGUCAUGAAAAUAAAAGGCAUUGUUCUCUCUCAUCACUUACUCUAGGAAAAUCUGGCCGUAUUUCAGCAAGACACUCAAACCCAUGUAGCCAAAACAAAACAAACAACAACAACAACAACAACAAAUGCAUACUCCUAUCAAAAGCCAGUGAAGAACUGAACCCUCCUGCCAAAUGCCAUGUGCAAAAUCAGCUAGGAAGUGAACUCAUCAUUGAUACUAUUGAAUAAGCAUCCCAGACUUAGUAAGGUUGUUUUUGUCCUGGUAGAGAUACAAAUUACUUCUAUUUGAUGGAACAGAUAACACCCCCCAAA
rnacentral:lncRNA from 1 species